rnacentral:rRNA from 1 species
UACAGAGGGUGCAAGCGUUUAAUCGGAUUUACUGGGCGUAAAGCGCGCGUAGGCGGCUAAUUAAGUCAAAUGUGAAAUCCCCGAGCUUAACUUGGGGAAUUGCAUUCGAUACUGGUUAGCUAGAGUGUGGGAGAGGAUGGUAGAAUUCCAGGUGUAGCGGUGAAAUGCGUAGAGAUCUGGAGGAAUACCGAUGGCGAAGGCAGCCAUCUGGCCUAACACUGACGCUGAGGUGCGAAAGCAUGGGGAGCAAACAGGG